rnacentral:rRNA from 1 species
CGCCUGUUUAUCAAAAACAUGUCUUUUUGUUAAUUAUUUAAAGUCUGGCCUGCUCCAUGAGUAAUUAAAUAGCCGCAGUAUUUUGACUGUGCAAAGGUAGCAUAAUCAUUAGUUUUUUAAUUGAAAGCUGGUAUGAAUGGUCGGAUGAAGAAGAUUCUGUCUCAUUUUAAUUUAAAUUGAAUUUUAUUUUUAAGUCAAAAAGCUUAAAUUUUAUAGAAAGACGAGAAGACCCUAUAGAGUUUAAUAGGUUUAUUUUACAAUAAAUUUAGGAUUUUAUUUUUAUUGUGAUUUGAACUAUUUUGUUGGGGUGACAUAAGAAUUUAAAUAACUUCUUUUUAUAUUAACACUGAUUGGUGAAUAUAGGAUCCUGAUUUUUGGAUUAUAAGAUUAAAUUACCUUAGGGAUAACAGCGUAAUUCUUUUGGAGAGUUCUAAUCAAUAAAAGGGAUUGCGACCUCGAUGUUGGAUUAAAGUUAAAUCUUGGUGCAGAAGCUAGGAUUUUAAGUCUGUUCGACUUUUAAAACUUUACGUGAUCUGAGUUAAGACCGG